CCUAACAUUUUCCUCAUGCCAAAGAGGGGUGUGCGUCCAAGAGUUGGGAUGCCUCAAGGUCUUUUGCCUUGAAAGGACUCCUAGUUUUACAAGGUUUUGAUUUGGUCAAAGGUUGACAUCAAAAAAGAAGAUAAGGUCUAAGGAGUUUGAGACCUUGAAGGAUUCCUCAUGCCUUAUGUGGAUAGUGCUUCAUAACUCAUGCCCCAACCUUUCUUAUAUUAAGAAGAGGUGCACCUAAAUUCUUUCUCACAGAGGAAAAAGGAGUCCACACCUUUUUGGUUCCAUGCCCCAACCCUCC
rnacentral:lncRNA from 1 species